rnacentral:misc_RNA from 1 species
GUUGAUUUUACUUUUCUUGAUUGAUUCUUAAUCAGGAGAUUAUGCUGGUAUCGAAUUUGAAUAUUAACAUGAAUUUUCCAGAUUCCUCUUCUUCUUCAUUAAUCCUUCUUUUUUGGAUAUUUUUUUUCCUUUUGCAUAUCUGCAUAGUGUGUGUUUACAGAAUGUGCCCUCCAAAGGAGUCUAUACAUAAAAAGAAAGAAU